UGGGGAAUAUUGGACAAUGGGCGAAAGCCUGAUCCAGCCAUGCCGCGUGUGUGAAGAAGGUCUUCGGAUUGUAAAGCACUUUAAGUUGGGAGGAAGGGCAUUAACCUAAUACGUUAGUGUUUUGACGUUACCGACAGAAUAAGCACCGGCUAACUCUGUGCCAGCAGCCGCGGUAAUACAGAGGGUGCAAGCGUUAAUCGGAAUUACUGGGCGUAAAGCGCGCGUAGGUGGUUUGUUAAGUUGGAUGUGAAAUCCCCGGGCUCAACCUGGGAACUGCAUUCAAAACUGACUGACUAGAGUAUGGUAGAGGGUGGUGGAAUUUCUUGUGUAGCGGUGAAAUGCGUAGAUAUAGGAAGGAACACCAGUGGCGAAGGCGACCACCUGGACUAAUACUGACACUGAGGUGCGAAAGCGUGGGGAGCAAACA
rnacentral:rRNA from 1 species